AAGGAAUAUUGCCCAAUGGACGAAAGUCUGAGGCAGCAACGCCGCGUGGAGGAUGAAGGCCUUCGGGUUGUAAACUCCUUUUAUGGGGAAGAGAAAGGACGGUACCCCAUGAAUAAGUCUCGGCUAACUACGU
rnacentral:rRNA from 1 species